rnacentral:rRNA from 1 species
AUGCAGCCGACGCAGUGCGGUGCCGCCGAUCCCAACGACCGCAUCCUGAUAGCCCAGCCGGAGGAGACCCGCCGGAGGCCAUACCAACCCGCCCUGACCCAGAUCGGACCCAAAAGGGCCCAGAUCUGGGCCUGCAGGGCUUCACCGGCCGGCCCAUGCCGACAGCCGCCACUGCCGCCAAAGGGCCGCGCCGCCGCCGCAUCUGCGCCCGAUCUACACCGUAGCACCGCCCGCCGAGGUGCACCAUCGGCGGAAACCGCCGCCCGAGUCGGGAAACCGCGAGGAGAAGAGGAAGAGGGCCGCCACCGCUGGCCUCGCCCCGGCGCUGCGCAGGCAAUGCCCAGCCACGCCAGCCGGCGGCAGCGGCGAGAGGAGGGGUAG